rnacentral:sRNA from 1 species
UAUUCUGCCCAUGCGGGAAGGAUGAGAAUCUUCGAUUAAGGUUCGAUUCGGGCAUAGCGAGAAAGCGUUGCCGCAGGCAACGACCCGAAGGGCGAAGCGCGCAGCGCUGAGUCAUCCUUCCCCCACUACCA